CAGCAGUGGGGAAUAUUGCACAAUGGGCGCAAGCCUGAUGCAGCCAUGCCGCGUGUAUGAAGAAGGCCUUCGGGUUGUAAAGUACUUUCAGCAGUGAGGAAGGUGGGUAUGUUAAUAGCAUACUCAUUUGACGUUAGCUGCAGAAGAAGCACCGGCUAACUCCGUGCCAGCAGCCGCGGUAAUACGGAGGGUGCGAGCGUUAAUCGGAAUUACUGGGCGUAAAGCGCAUGCAGGUGGUUUGUUAAGUCAGAUGUGAAAGCCCGGGGCUCAACCUCGGAAUUGCAUUUGAAACUGGCAAACUAGAGUACUGUAGAGGGGGUAGAAUUUCAGGUGUAGCGGUGAAAUGCGUAGAGAUCUGAAGGAAUACCGGUGGCGAAGGCGGCCCCCUGGACAGAUACUGACACUCAGAUGCGAAAGCGUGGGGAGCAAACAGGAUUAGAUACCCCGGUAG
rnacentral:rRNA from 1 species